rnacentral:rRNA from 1 species
CGUGUAGGCGGCCAGGUAGGUCUGCUGUGAAAACUCGAGGCUUAACCUCGAGAUGUCGGCGGAAACCAUCUGGCUAGAGUCCGGAAGAGGAGAGUGGAAUUCCUGGUGUAGCGGUGAAAUGCGCAGAUAUCAGGAAGAACACCCGUGGCGAAGGCGGCUCUCUGGGACGGUACUGACGCUGAGACGCGAAAGCGUGGGAGCGAACA